rnacentral:rRNA from 1 species
AGUGAAUAGAUACCCGGGUAGUCCACGCCGUAAACGAUGGAUGCUAGCUGUUAUGAGUAUCGACCCUCGUAGUAGCGUAGCUAACGCGUUAAGCAUCCCGCCUGUGGAGUACGGUCGCAAGACUAAAACAUAAAGGAAUUGACGGGGACCCGCACAAGCGGUGGAGCGUGUUGUUUAAUUCGAUGGUAAGCGAAGAACCUUACCCAGGCUUGACAUCCUGCCAAGUUCGCCGAAAGGCGAGUGUGCCUUCGGGCCGCAGUGACAGGUGAUGCAUGGCCGUCGUCAGCUCGUGUCGUGAGAUGUUUGGUUAAGUCCAUCAACGAGCGCAACCCUUAUAGUUAGUUGUAUUUCUCUAGCUAGACUGCCCUGGUAACAGGGAGGAAGGGGGGAUGAUGUCAGGUCAGUAUUUCCCUUACGUCUGGGGCUACAAACACGCUACAAUGGCCGGUACAAAGGGCUGCCAACCCGCGAGGGGAGCAAAUCCCAUCAAAGCCGGUCUCAGUUCGGAUUGUAGGCUGAAACUCGCCUGC